GUGCUUGCCUCAGCAGCGCAAAUACUAAAAUUGGAAUGAUACAGAGAAGAUUCGCAUGUCCCCUGUGCAAGGAUGACAUGCAGAUUCGUGAAGCGUUCUGUUUUUUC
ensembl:snRNA RNU6-495P RNA, U6 small nuclear 495, pseudogene